AAUUAUCCUAGAUACGCUAGUAAUAAUUAAUACACCAAUUUAUUCCUACUACGAACAUGGUAGUUUUAUCACUAAUCAGCCCUAUUCCAACAAUUACGGAUUGGAGGUGCUAAUUGACUGUAAUCCAAUUAAACCUAAGUUGGUCAGACUUAAAUAAAAUCAGAAUUAUCUUUAAACCCUAGGAAUAAAUCGAAAUCAAUAGGAACUAAUUUUAUGCUCAAUUAGGUCUC
rnacentral:lncRNA from 1 species